rnacentral:tRNA from 1 species
UGCCCUGCAGUGAACUCACGCUAAAGUGCAAAUUUAGAGAAGCACCUAAACGGUGCCGGGGCUU